rnacentral:rRNA from 1 species
UCGGGUGAAGGUGGCGGACGGGUGAGUAACGCGUAAAGAACUUGCCUUACAGACUGGGACAACAUUUGGAAACGAAUGCUAAUACCGGAUAUUAUGACUGAGUCGCAUGAUUUGGUUAUGGAAGCUAUAUGCGCUGUGAGAGAGCUUUGCGUCCCAUUAGUUAGUUGGUGAGGUAACGGCUCACCAAGACGAUGAUGGGUAGCCGGCCUGAGAGGGUGAACGGCCACAAGGGGACUGAGACACGGCCCUUACUCCUACGGGAGGCAGCAGUGGGGAAUAUUGGACAAUGGACCAAAAGUCUGAUCCAGCAAUUCUGUGUGCACGAUGAAGUUUUUCGGAAUGUAAAGUGCUUUCAGUUGGGAAGAAGUCAGUGACGGUACCAACAGAAGAAGCGACGGCUAAAUACGUGCCAGCAGCCGCGGUAAUACGUAUGUCGCAAGCGUUAUCCGGAUUUAUUGGGCGUAAAGCGCGUCUAGGCGGUUUAGUAAGUCUGAUGUGAAAAUGCGGGGCUCAACCCCGUAUUGCGUUGGAAACUGCUUAAACUAGAGUACUGGAGAGGUAGGCGGAACUACAAGUGUAAGGUGAAAUUCGUAGAUAUUUUGUAGGAAUGCCCGAUGGGGAAGCCAGCCUACUGGACAGAUACUGACGUCUAUAUAGCUGC